AGAGCGAACGCUGGCGGCAGGCUUAACACAUGCAAGUCGAGCGGGCGUAGCAAUACGUCAGCGGCAGACGGGUGAGUAACGCGUGGGAACAUACCUUUUGGUUCGGAACAACACAGGGAAACUUGUGCUAAUACCGGAUAAGCCCUUACGGGGAAAGAUUUAUCGCCGAAAGAUUGGCCCGCGUCUGAUUAGCUAGUUGGUGAGGUAACGGCUCACCAAGGCGACGAUCAGUAGCUGGUCUGAGAGGAUGAUCAGCCACAUUGGGACUGAGACACGGCCCAAACUCCUACGGGAGGCAGCAGUGGGGAAUAUUGGACAAUGGGCGCAAGCCUGAUCCAGCCAUGCCGCGUGAGUGAUGAAGGCCCUAGGGUUGUAAAGCUCUUUUGUGCGGGAAGAUAAUGGCGGUACCGCAAGAAUAAGCCCCGGCUAACUUCGCGCCAGCAGCCGC
rnacentral:rRNA from 1 species